GAUGAAGAACGUAGUGAAAUGCGAUACGUAAUGUGAAUUGCAAAUUCAGUGAAUCAUCGAGUCUUUGAACGCACAUUGCGCCCGCCAGCACUCUGGCGGGCAUGCCUGUUCGAGCGUCAUUUCAACCAUCAAGCCCCAGGCUUGCGUUGGAGCCCUGCGGCUGCCGCAGCCUCCUAAAAGCAGUGGCGGGCUCGCUAUCACACCGAGUGCAGUAGAUUACUCUUCGCUCAGGGCGUGCAGCGGGUUCCGGCCGUGAAACCCCCUACUUUUAAAGGUUGACCUCGGAUCAGGUAGGAAUACCCGCUGAACUUAAGCAUAUCAAUAAGCGGAGGA
rnacentral:misc_RNA from 1 species